rnacentral:rRNA from 1 species
GGUUGGGCUGUUCGCCCAUUAAAGUGGUACGCGAGCUGGGUUCAGAACGUCGUGAGACAGUUCGGUCCCUAUCCGUCGCAGGCGUAGGAAAUUUGAGAAGACCUGUCCUUAGUACGAGAGGACCGGGCUGGACGUACCUCUGGUGUACCAGUUGUCCUGCCAAGGGCAUGGCUGGGUAGCUAUGUACGGAAUGGAUAAGCGCUGAAAGCAUCUAAGCGCGAAGCCAACUUCAAGAUAAGAUUUCCCACCGCAAGGGUAAGACCCCAGAAAGACUAUCUGGUUGAUAGGUCGAAGGUGUAAGUGCAGCAAUGUAUUUAGCUUAUCGAUACUAAUAGGUCGAGGACUUGACCAAU